GAACUAAGUUGGACGGUCGCGCCGUAUCACGCCGAAAGGUAUUACGGUGAGGAAAGUCCGUGCUUCACAGGGCAGGAUAACUGAUAACGUCAGCCGAGGGUGACCUUAGGGAAAGUGCAACAGAAAAUUACCGCCGAUUUUAACCGGUAAGGAUGAAAACGUGGGGUAAGAGCCCACGACAUUCUAUGGUAACAUAGAGUGGGUGUAAACCCUAUCCGAAGCAACACCGCACACAAGGAUUUUUGUUAGCCCGACCAGUCUUUUUAGCAUCCUUUUAGGUGGCACGCAUUUUGCGGAGCCUCUUGGCAACAAGGGGCAAAGAUAGAUGACCGUCUUAAAUGACAGAACACGGCUUACAGACUUAAUUCACUA
rnacentral:RNase_P_RNA from 1 species